rnacentral:lncRNA from 1 species
GACGGAGGGAGUACUAUAGAAGUGUACAGAAUUUGAUGGAACACUUGGUUCUAGGUCUUCCAAAGGAAGUAGCACUCGCUUCUGAUUUUCCAUUCUUCAGAACGCCUUGCCUAUGGAGAUGCAUCGAAUCCUUCAUCACACUGUAACAGCUCACAUGGUUUACCAAAGGCAUCUCUGUUCUUGUAGGCCAGCCUGGUUCACAAAAUUGACAUUAGUCUGAUAAUCAGCUAAAUGAUUUCUACCGAACAUGGGUAGUAUCCUGCCUAAUUUUUGUAAAAAAGAAAGAAGGAGCAGAGUCUAUCCUGAUGUUAACUCGUCAUUAUCAGUGUUGACAUUGCACACAGUUAUAAAUAAUCAAAGGCGAAUACCCAAAAACAGACAUAAAACGAAUGCGAGUAGGGACAUCACUAACUUGUUUUGGGGCGAGCAGGAUGGUUACAGGAGGCUUGAAGCUUCGAAUGACGCGCACAUUCGUGUACUCUUCCACGACCCUGCUUUACCCACUUAAUUAAGCAGGACCUACUUAAUGGAAGCACACUUUCAUGUCCUUUCUUGCUUUUACUGUCAUUUGCACGACCCAUGCCACUUGUUACUGUAUGUAGACCUACAAGCAGAAAACAAUAAAGCAUGCCUGUAAGUCAAGCCCGGCAUGGGAAUGAAGAUAUCAGAAUUCCAUUUAAAGGAUCAUCUUUAGAACAUAGACAAAAGGAAUAGAACUCAACAUGAAUUUCCCGGGAAUCAAAUUCGGAUAUCAAUCGUCGGUCAAGGAAUGAGAUCAAGUUCAUUCAGUAGUAGUGUACAAAAGCCCUGCAUAAACAUACAGGAACCUGACCAAAAACAGAAUCCCCAUAAAUACUAGAUAGGGUGAAUACAAUCUCAGCAUGGUUAAACCUUCUCAUUGAUCCGAGUCAUAAACUACAACAUAAACAUGACACUAGUUAGGCUUCGAAUUUGGCCACGGUCUUGCUCCUGCUCCUGGAUUAGAAAUUCACAGUUGCUGCUCCUGAUCCUCUACCAACCCAAAAAAACCAAGAGCAAUUUGGCAGUUGGCAGCUAACCAAGGGAGUGCUUAGCCAGGAACCAGUUCGGCUUGUAAGAAAACGUGGUUGAGAAUGAAUAGUUGAACUCGUAACUACUACACUUAUUGGUAAGAGUUAAAUAUGUUUGGCUGGUACAUAUCACUGAACUUCACGUCAUGUCUGUACAUAACCAAAAUGCCUCUACGAAAAAACGUGUGAGCACCAUCUGUUAGGAAUAAUCACGAUUAGGCAAAAACCAGUCCGGCACGGACUUGGAUUCUUUGCCGAGUCGGCUAGCUGCUAGAUAGGACAGCUACCAUUUAUACAUGCAUCUAGUCCCCUGUAAUCUCAGAUCAAAAAAUCAAUGAGUAUUGACGGGAACGACAAGCUCCCGUGGCCAUAACACGUUUUGUCUUCCGUGCUCGUAAGCGCUGGAAAAGCAUCCAACUACCAGUUUGUUUGUCUAGCUAGCUUACAUAGCGGUUCUCAACGGAAAGUAAAUCGCUGGGAACUACGCUCGACGAUCUCACCGAAAGUACUUCGCCCGAUCGUAAGCUACGCCUCGUCGGAAGUCUACGACGAGUUGAACCUGUGCCAACAAUUGGUAUCUAGAGCAAGGUUGAUCUUCUAGUAACAGAAGAUCAUGUCGAAGGACGACAAGGAUAAGCAGCUGGCGGCAUACUCCGGUGCGGCUAAAGUAUUUGCUGCUCCAGCGAGUUCGUCGUACCCACGAUUUGACCGCGAGAACUUCAGGGUCUGGAAGGCACUGAUGGAGUGUGGUCUCCGCGCCAAUGUGUUGUGGGACGCAGUCGAUCCAGGAGGCGACGCUUUCAAGAAGGGGGGAGCCGAGCACUGGAAGGAUCGGCAGGCGGCAUCGGCGAUUUACUCGGUGAUGUCGAUGGAUGUCCUCCAACACCUGAUCGCCAAAGAAACGGCGAAGGAGGUGUGGGAUACCUUGAAGCUCAUGUUCGAGGGACACGACCGCGUCAAGCAAGCCAAUCUCCAAACUCUCUUAAGGAACUAUGAGACUUUGGUCAUGGGCGACAAUGAGUCCGUGGACGCGUUCGCUUCACGCGUUGCUACUCUCGUCAAUCGGAUCCGCGCACUUGGAGAAAACCUCACGGAGGCCUCGGUUGUCCGUCGGUUCUUGCGCGCGGCUCCUCCCCGGUACCUGCAAAUUGUCACGGCGAUCGAGCAGUGCGUCGAUCUCGCGACACUCUCCAUUGAUGAUCUCGUCGGAUGCUACAAGGCUCACGACGAGCGUAUGCGGUAUAGUCUCGGGGACGGGAAGAAUGAUGAGCAUGUCAUGCUCACGCGGGCUCAGUGGCAAGCGUUGGACUCAAGGAAAGGAGGUGAGGGCUCAAGCAAAAACACUCGCCAAGAUCGUGCGCCAAACGAACAAAUUCAGAAGAACGCUAGUGACGGCGCUCCGAAGAAGAAAAAGAAGUUCGACAAGCGCAAGAUCAAGUGUCACAACUGUGGCAUAAUGGGGCACUUCAAAUCGGAGUGCAAGAAACCACCGAAGGAGAAAGCUUUCAUGGCCAAGGAAGGCGAUGAUGGCGACAUGAUGCUCAUGGUCGAAGUAUGCGAGCUAAUGGACGAGGAUAGUCUAACUCCUAAGGCGCCAGCUACGGAGGUUGUUACGCUCAUAGAGGAGGCAGUUUUUCUUCAUGACAAGAAGAGGAUGAACUCGGCGAGGCACGUGUGGUACCUCGACACGGGAGCUAGCAACCACAUGACCGGCGACAAGGACCAGUUUUCUGAGCUCAGACUUUCGGUGGGAGGCACGGUUCGGUUCGGCGAUGGACGGACCGUUGACAUCGCAGGGCGAGGUACUGUCCUGUUUGAGGUGAAGAAUGGCGGCCACAAGGUACUCACGGAUGUUUACUAUAUUCCCAAGCUAAAGAGUAGCAUCAUAAGUCUUGGCCAGCUCGAGGAGCGUGGUUGCAAGAUUGUGCUCGAAGAUGGCUAUCUAUGGGGGUAUGAUCGUCAGAGGAUGCUAAUUAUGAAGGUGCAGAGGUCACCGAACAGACUUUACAUCCUCAACUUGUCUCGUGUGGAUCCAGUAUGUCUCUUGUCGAGCAUGGAUGACUCGGCAUGGAAGUGGCACGCACGCUACGGACAUCUAAAUUUCCAGGCUCUUCGGCAACUUGGACAAAAAGAGAUGGUACGUGGUCUACCGUGCAUCGAACAUGUCGACCAAGUGUGCGACGGUUGUCUUAUUGGGAAACAAAGGAGGGCCCCGUUCCCAAGAGAGGGAAACUUUAGAGCGAGUAAAGUUCUUGAGUUGGUCCACCGAGAUUUGUGCGGGCCGAUUACACCGGCCACCCCUGCCGGAAAUAGAUAUUUCCUGCUCAUCGUCGACGACUUCAGCAGAUACAUGUGGAUUGUGUUGUUGAAGACGAAGGAUCAAGCUUUGGAAGCCUUCAGGAUAGUAAAGAUGGCGGCCGAAGUGGAAUCCGAAGCCAAGAUGAAGGCCCUCCGUACCGAUCGGGGGGGUGAGUUCAAGUCUUGUGAAUUCACAAGAUUCUGCGAAACACAGGGGAUCAAGCGGUAUCUUACGGCUCCAUAUUCACCACAGCAAAAUGGUGUUGUGGAGCGGAGGAACCAAACUGUGGUGGCGAUGGCACGGAGCAUGUUAAAGAGUAAAGGCAUGCCAGGGAAGUAUUGGGGUGAGGCGGUCAAUACGGCCGUUUAUUUGCUGAACCGGGCUCCAACCAAGAGUGUGGUUGGAAUGACGCCGUACGAAGCAUGGUACGGACACAAGCCCGCGGUUGAUCAUCUUCGUACUUUCGGGUGCGUGGCGCAUGUGAAGACAGUGGCGGGGCAUACUAGCAAAUUGGCGGAUCGGAGUACUCCAAUGAUAUUGGUUGGCUAUGAAGCGGGCACAAAGGCGUACCGUGCGUGCAACCCCUCGAACAACAAGGUGGUUGUGACGCGUGAUGUGGUCUUUGAAGAAGCGAGGUCAUGGAAUUGGAACUCCACCGAGCAAGUAUACCCGUCAUCAGAUGACAUUUUUAAUGUCGUUUACGACGAACCUGAACAUACAGAAGCUGACGAUCAACUGAAGAGGUCGUCGGGACAGAGCGAUCCUCCGAACGCAGGUGCUACUGAAAACACGCCAGCUAGGUCGGCCGUGUCGCUUGAGCCCGCGAUCAGCACGUCCUCUAGCGCUGCUGGGUCUACAUGCAGCCACCGAGGCAAGGGAGCCAUACAAGCUGCAGCCUGCAGCACGCCUGACAGCGUUCCCCGUAGCGCUGGUAGCCCAGGCCGUGGCACCUCUCCUGGAGGUUCACGUGAUGGUGGUAUGACCCAGAGUCCACCAAGCCACGUGCAUGGGGCUGAUGGUUCUCUUGUACGUGCACCAGUUUCACCUGGUUCACCUCGUGGAUGUGUAGCCAGCCCAGGGGUGCUCCAAUCGCCAGAAAUCAGAAGUGUGGCAACUUCAGCAGAAAAUUCUUUGUCUUUGACGAAAGAGGAGACGAGGGAACGUCCGCCAACACCAGUACGUCUGCGAUCAGUGGUGGAUUUAUAUCCGAAGGAAACAUUUCAAACCAUAAAUCCGGUGAAAAUUAAGAGAAGAGGACGACAAUGUUUGCUUAGUGUCGAGUAACCGACAAAGUUUGAAGAAGCAAACAUGGAGGAGUGUUGGCGUCGUGCUAUGGAUGAGGAGUUGGGGUCGAUCCGAGACAACAAAACAUGGGAGCUCGUGGAUCCUCCCAGCGGCCAUAAAAUUAUAGGGCUCAAGUGGGUGUACAAGGUCAAAAAGGAUGCCGAUGGAAAUCUUGUGAAAUACAAAGCAAGGCUCGUAGCUAAGUGAUACGUGCAAGAGCAAGGUGUGGAUUUCGAAGAAGUGUUUGCUCCAGUUACAAGGAUGGAAUCGGUGAGGCUAGUUAUAGCUCUUGCGGCUCAAGAAUCUUGGAGGCUACAUCACAUGGAUGUAAAAUCCGCGUUUUUGAACGGGGAGUUGGAAGAAGAAGUUUAUGUCAAGCAACCACCGGGGUACAUCAAAGAAGGAGAGGAACACAAGGUGCUGAAACUACACAAGGCAUUGUACGGGCUAUGUCAAGCUCCUCGGGCAUGGAACAACAAGCUUGACCGUACACUGGUUUCUCUUGGUUUUGAGAAAAGUCCACUCGAGCAUGCUAUGUAUAAGCGAGGCAAAGGCAAGGAUCGUCUCUUAGUGAGCAUCUAUGUCGACGAUCUUUUGAUAAGAUCGUGAGCUAAGAUGCAUAAAGAAAAUCAGGCACGAUACGUGCCUGUGGCAAUCAGCCGAGUUUUUUCUGCGCGUGAGUAGCUACUAUACGAGAUCAGUCCGUGCAUACUCGUACGUGUAUUCCGGCCGGCGGCAAGGAAGUAAUCAAGUCACGGCUGUUGUGUACGUACGUGUGAUCUUGGUGUCGCUUCCCAGAUGAUCGAGCAAGAGCAGACUAGCUAGUACAAGCUAGCUUUGCACUACAGUGUGUCGCGACGUAAAGAACUUCGUCGAGUUCAGCCAGUGGUUUGUCUUCGUCGUCGAUUGUCACCGUCGCUGGAAAGUACUCGGCGUCGGGUCUGGGCCAACAAUUGAUAACCGGAGCAGAUGAGGAGGAGAUUGCUAGAUUCAAGCUACAAAUGAAGGAGCUAUUCAAGAUGAGUGAUCUAGGGCUCUUGAGUUACUAUCUCGGGAUUGAGGUACAACAAAAGCCUGAGGGGAUCACACUAUGCCAGGAGGCAUAUGCAAAGAAGAUUCUUGAAAGUUGUGGCAUGGAGGACUGCAAACCAACUUUUGUUCCGAUGGAGCCUCGUCUUAAACUUAGCAAGAGAAGCAAAGCAUCCGUGGUUGAUGCAACGGAGUAUAGGAGUGUGGUCGGAAGCCUAAGGUAUCUUGUGAAUACACGACCAGACUUGGCCUAUUCCGUUGGCAUAGUGAGUCGCUUCAUGGAAGCACCCACGAAGGAACAUUGGGCAGCUGUGAAACAUAUACUCAGAUACAUCAAAGGGACAACAAACUUCGGUUGUGUCUAUUUGAGAGGGAAGAAGAAGGAGAUGGUGGAGCUACUUGGCUAUAGUGAUAGUGACCUGGCAGGAGAUGUGGAUGACCGCAAAAGUACCUCGGGAGUGGCAUAUUUCUUGGGCGGGAGCAUAGUGAGUUGGCUAUCACAAAAACAGAAGGUGGUCGCAUUAUCAUCCUGUGAAGCGGAGUAUAUUGCAGCUGCAACCGCGGCGUGUCAAGGUGUGUUUUUAGAAAGGCUACUCGGUGACCUCACACACAAGGAACCGAAAGGAAUGGUGCUCUAUGUUGACAACAAGUCUGCGAUUGCUCUAUGUAAGAAUCCAGUGCAUCAUGACAGGAGCAAACACAUUGAUACGAGGUAUCACUACAUACGGCAGUGCGUGGAAGAAGGCAAGAUUAAAGUCAACUACGUUUGCACCGAUGAUCAGCUUGCAGAUAUCCUGACCAAAUCUUUGGGACGACAGAAGUUCACGGAUUUGCGGGAAGGAUCGGCGUCCAAGCUGUAAAGUGAGGACAUCGUGCUUAGGGGGUGAUUGUUAGGAAUAAUCACGAUUAGGCAAAAACCAGUCCGGCACGGACUUGGAUUCUUUGCCGAGUCGGCUAGCUGCUAGAUAGGACAGCUACNNNNNNNNNNNNNNNNNNNNNNNNNNNNNNNNNNNNNNNNNNNNNNNNNNNNNNNNNNNNNNNNNNNNNNNNNNNNNNNNNNNNNNNNNNNNNNNNNNNNNNNNNNNNNNNNNNNNNNNNNNNNNNNNNNNNNNNNNNNNNNNUAGAUAGGACAGCUACUAUUUAUACAUGCAUCUAGUCCCCUGUAAUCUCAGAUCAAAAAAUCAAUGAGUAUUGACGGGAACGAUAAACUCCCGUGGCCAUAACACGUUUUGUCUUCCGUGCUCGUAAGCGCUGGAAAAGCAUCCAACUGCCAGUUUGUUUGUCUAGCUAGCUUACAUAGCGGUUCUUAACGGAAAGUAAAUCGCUGGGAACUACGCUCGACGAUCUCGCCGAAAGUACUUCGCCCGAUCGUAAGCUACGCCUCGUCGGAAGUCUACGACGAGUUGAACCUGUGCCAACACCAUCGCGGGGGAUACAGUUGCUCCAACUUGGGCCUGUGGUUUCCCUUGUCUACUGCUUCACUCAAUAGCUCGAACUACGGCAAUAUUGUGGUCUCCACUUCAUGGUACGUUGAAGCAUUAGCAAGGAGAUCCUUCAAGAUCGGUGAUGCAGCCACUUUUAGCUAAUGCUUGAGGCAGUGCUAGUCAACGCCACUUCCAUCGGAUUGCAGGAUUUAUUUUUUGGGUGUAUAUGCCGAGGGAGGGGAGCUGUGUUUGUUUUGUGUGGACACUUAAGACGAGCACAGGAAUUGCUUCUGGAUGGCUGAUGGAUGAAAACCAUGUUGAGUGGGGAAUCACGAGAUAAAUUAGCCAUCUGCAAUGGCGACAAGAAAAUAGAAGCCUACCUCCGUUCUUUUUUACUCCCUCCGUUCCUAAAUAUAAGUCUUUCUAGAGAUUACACUACGGACUACAUACGAAGCAAAAUGAGUGAAUCCACACUCUAAAGUAUGUUUAUAUAUAUCCGUAUGUAGUUCAUAGUGGAAUCUCUAAAAAGACUUAUAUUUAGGAACGGAGGGAGUAUAAGACAAUUUAGACAGCUGACCAUGAACUGUUUUGAGCGCUGUCUGAACUGUCUAAAACGUCUUGUAAAAGUGAACAGAGGGAGUACUUUGGGGGCGGGGAAUAACCUGAAUAAUUGAUAGACAAGCAAUGAAAGUACUAUUUUCUGAGUGGGUACUUGUUUUUGUUUGUGGACUCUUAAGACAAGCAUUGGAAAUGCUUCUGGAUGCUGUGAUGGAUGAAAAAUCUGUUGGAGUGGGAAACGACGAGAUAAACUACUCAACUGGCGAUAAGAAAAAAGUACCUACUGGCGGAUCAGAUCUGUAGACAAUAGCCAAGACAAAGAAUACUAUUUUGAGAGUGAAGAAUGACCUGAAUAAUAGAUAGAAGAGCGAUAAAAGUGCUUCUGGACCGGAGAUAGAAACGACCAAUGAAUAGAGCAAUGG